rnacentral:rRNA from 1 species
AGUGGGGGGAUCCUAUACAUGCAAGUCGAGCGCGGGAAGCCGGCGGACUCCUUCGGGAGGAAACCGGUGGAACGAGCGGCGGACGGGUGAGUAACACGUGGGCAACCUGCCGGACUGAUGGGAAUAACCCCGGGAAACCGGGGCUAAUGCCCAAUACGCCCUGACCUCGCCUGAGGUCAGCGGUAAAGCAGGGAUCUUCGGAUCCUUGCACAGUCCGAUGGGCCCGCGGCGCAUUAGCUAGUUGGAGAGGUAAGGGCUCCCCAAGGCGACGAUGCGUAGCCGACCUGAGAGGGUGAUCGGCCACACUGGGACUGAGACACGGCCCAGACUCCUACGGGAGGCAGCAGUAGGGAAUCAUCCGCAAUGGGCGAAAGCCUGACGGUGCAACGCCGCGUGAGUGAUGAAGGUUUUCGGAUCGUAAAGCUCUGUUGACAGGGAAGAACCCACGUCAGUCGAACAGGCUGGCGUGCUGACGGUACCUGUCCAGAAAGCCCCGGCUAACUACGUGCCAGCAGCCGCGGUAAUACGUAGGGGGCAAGCGUUGUCCGGAAUUAUUGGGCGUAAAGGGCACGCAGGCGGUUUCGUCAGUCCGAUGUGACAGGCCAC